rnacentral:rRNA from 1 species
UACGUAGGGGGCAAGCGUUGUCCGGAUUUAUUGGGCGUAAAGCGCGUGUAGGCGGCCAGGUAGGUCCGUUGUGAAAACUCGAGGCUCAACCUCGAGACGUCGAUGGAAACCAUCUAGCUAGAGUCCGGAAGAGGAGAGUGGAAUUCCUGGUGUAGCGGUGAAAUGCGCAGAUAUCAGGAAGAACACCCGUGGCGAAGGCGGCUCUCUGGUACGUGACUGACGCUGAGACGCGAAAGCGUGGGGAGCGAACAGG